rnacentral:rRNA from 1 species
UACGAAGGGGGCAAGCGUUGUUCGGAAUUACUGGGCGUAAAGGGCGCGUAGGCGGUGCGCUAAGUCAGAUGUGAAAGCCCUGGGCUCAACCCGGGAAUUGCAUUUGAUACUGGCGUGCUCGAAUCCGGGAGAGGUUGGUGGAAUUCCCAGUGUGAGAGGUGAAAUUCGUAGAGAUUGGGAAGAACACCGGUGGCGAAGGCGGCCGAACUGGACC